rnacentral:rRNA from 1 species
UACGAAGGGGGCUAGCGUUGCUCGGAAUUACUGGGCGUAAAGCGCGUGUAGGCGGCAGGGCAUGUCGGAUGUGAAAUCCCGUGGCUCAACCACGGAAGUGCACCCGAAACUGCCCAGCUUGAGUCUCGGAGAGGAAGGCGGAAUGCUUGGUGUAGAGGUGAAAUUCGUAGAUAUCAAGCGGAACACCGGUGGCGAAGGCGGCCUUCUGGACGAUGACUGACGCUGAGACGCGAAAGCGUGGGGAGCAAACAGG